UGCCGCGUGUGUGAAGAAGGCCUUCGGGUUGUAAAGCACUUUCAGACGUGAGGAAAAGCUAAGUAUUAAUACUAUUUAGCCCUGACGUUAACGUCAGAAGAAGCACCGGCUAACUCCGUGCCAGCAGCCGCGGUAAUACGGAGGGUGCAAGCGUUAAUCGGAAUUACUGGGCGUAAAGCGCGCGUAGGCGGUUAUUUAAGUCAGAUGUGAAAUCCCUGGGCUCAACCUAGGAACUGCAUUUGAUACUGGAUAGCUAGAGUAUGGUAGAGGUGAGUGGAAUUUCAGGUGUAGCGGUGAAAUGCGUAGAGAUCUGAAGGAACAUCAGUGGCGAAGGCGACUCACUGGGCCAUUACUGACGCUGAGGUGCGAAAGCGUGGGUAGCAAACAGGAUUAGAUACCCUGGUAGUCCACGCCCUAAACGAUGUCAACUAGGUGUAUGGAACUUUAUGUUCUGUGUAUCGAAGCUAACGCGAUAAGUUGACCGCCUGGGGAGUACGGCCGCAAGGCUAAAACUCAAAUGAAUUGACGGGGGCCCGCACAAGCGGUGGAGCAUGUGGUUUAAUUCGAUGCAACGCGAAGAACCUUACCUGGUCUUGACAUGUAGCGA
rnacentral:rRNA from 1 species